rnacentral:rRNA from 1 species
GGGGGCAACCCUGGCGGCGAGCGGCGAACGGGUGAGUAAUACAUCGGAACGUGCCCAGUGGUGGGGGAUAGCCCGGCGAAAGCCGGAUUAAUACCGCAUACGACCUGAGGGUGAAAGGGGGGGAUCGCAAGACCUCUCGCCGUUGGAGCGGCCGAUGUCGGAUUAGCUAGUUGGUAGGGUAAAGGCCUACCAAGGCGACGAUCCGUAGCUGGUCUGAGAGGAUGAUCAGCCACACUGGGACUGAGACACGGCCCAGACUCCUACGGGAGGCAGCAGUGGGGAAUUUUGGACAAUGGGGGCAACCCUGAUCCAGCCAUUCCGCGUGAGUGAAGAAGGCCUUCGGGUUGUAAAGCUCUUUCGGCAGGAACGAAACGGUGGGCUCUAACAUAGCCUGCUAAUGACGGUACCUGAAGAAGAAGCACCGGCUAACUACGUGCCAGCAGCCGCGGUAAUACGUAGGGUGCGAGCGUUAAUCGGAAUUACUGGGCGUAAAGCGUGCGCAGGCGGUUUCGUAAGACAGAUGUGAAAUCCCCGGGCUUAACCUGGGAACUGCGUUUGUGACUGCGAGACUAGAGUGUGGCAGAGGGGGGUGGAAUUCCACGUGUAGCAGUGAAAUGCGUAGAGAUGUGGAGGAACACCGAUGGCGAAGGCAGCCCCCUGGGUUAACACUGACGCUCAUGCACGAAAGCGUGGGUAGCAAACAGGAUUAGAUACCCUGGUAGUCCACGCCCUAAACGAUGCCAACUAGGUGUUGGGGGAAGGAGACUUCCUUAGUACCGUAGCUAACGCGUGAAGUUGGCCGCCUGGGGAGUACGGUCGCAAGAUUAAAACUCAAAGGAAUUGACGGGGACCCGCACAAGCGGUGGAUGAUGUGGAUUAAUUCGAUGC